CAGUCGCCACGGGAAUACGUAGGUGGCAAGCGUUGUCCGGAAUUAUUGGGCGUAAAGCGCGCGCAGGUGGUUUAAUAAGUCUGAUGUGAAAGCCCACGGCUCAACCGUGGAGGGUCAUUGGAAACUGUUAAACUUGAGUGCAGGAGAGAAAAGUGGAAUUCCUAGUGUAGCGGUGAAAUGCGUAGAGACUAGGAGGAACACCAGUGGCGAAGGCGGCUUUUUGGCCUGUAACUGACACUGAGGCGCGAAAGCGUGGGGAGCAAACAGGAUUAGAUACCCCCGUAGUCCCUGUCUCUUAUAC
rnacentral:rRNA from 1 species